UACGAAGGGGGCUAGCGUUGCUCGGAAUUAUUGGGCGUAAAGAGCUCGUAGGCGGUCUGUCGCGUCUGCUGUGAAAACUCAGGGCUUAACCCUGAGCUUGCAGUGGGUACGGGCAGACUAGAGUGCGGUAGGGGAGACUGGAAUUCCUGGUGUAGCGGUGAAAUGCGCAGAUAUCAGGAGGAACACCGGUGGCGAAGGCGGGUCUCUGGGCCGUAACUGACGCUGAGGAGCGAAAGCAUGGGGAGCGAACAGG
rnacentral:rRNA from 1 species